rnacentral:rRNA from 1 species
AGUGAACGCUGGCGGUAGGCCUAAUACAUGCAAGUCGAACGGACGCACAGUAAGCUCUCGCCCUUACGGGUGGCGACUGGCGGAUGGGUGAGGCAUACAUCAGCAUCUUCUAUUUCGUGGGGGACAUCGUAGGGCAACUUAUGCUAAUACAUCAUAUGAUCUACCGGAGAAAGCAGUGGAUAUUCGCAGCUUUCCCGUCUCAUUGAGCCGGUGCCGGAUUAGCUAGUUGGCUGGGUAAGGGCCCACCAAGGCGACGAUCCGUAGCGGGUCUGAGAGGAUGAUCAGCCACACUGGAACUGAGACACGGUCCAGACUCCUACGGGAGGCAGCAGUGGGGAAUAUUGGGCAAUGGGCGCAAGCCUGAUCCAGCAAUGCCGCGUGAGUGAAGAAGGCCUUCGGAUUGUAAAACCCUUUUAUUGGGAAAGAAAAACAGCGGGAUAAUACCCCGCCGUUCUGACGGUACCCAAUGAAUAAGCACCGGCUAACUUCGUG